rnacentral:rRNA from 1 species
CCUACGGUAGGCAGCAGUGGGGCAUAUUGCACAAUGGGGGAAACCCUGAUGCAGCGACGCCGCGUGAGUGAAGAAGUAAUUCGUUAUGUAAAGCUCUAUCAGCAGGGAAGCAAAUGACGGUACCUGAGUAAGAAGCCCCGGCUAACUACGUGCCAGCAGCCGCGGUAAUACGUAGGGGGCAAGCGUUAUCCGGAUUUACUGGGUGUAAAGGGAGCGUAGACGGCAGUGCAAGUCUGGAGUGAAAGGGGGGGGCUCAACCCCCGGACUGCUCUGGAAACUGUACGGCUGGAGUGCAGGAGGGGUAAGUGGAAUUCCUAGUGUAGCGGUGAAAUGCGUAGAUAUUAGGAGGAACACCAGUGGCGAAGGCGGCUUACUGGACUGUAACUGACGUUGAGGCUCGAAAGCGUGGGGAGCAAACAGGAUUAGAUACCCGUGUAGUC